ACACACACACACACACACACACACACACACACACACACACACACACACACACACACACACACACACACACACACACACACACACACAGGGACAGGACAGGGGCUGGUUUAGGCCUAACAUCUGGCCUAAGGAACAGGGCUGGUUUAGGUCUAACAUCUGGCCUAAGGGACAUGUCAGGGGCUGGUUUAGGUCUAACAUCUGGCCUAAGGAACAGGGCUGGUUUAGGUCUAACAUCUGGCCUAAGGGACAGGACUGGUUUAGGUCUAACAUCUGGCCUAAGGGACAGGGCUAACAUCUGGCCUAAGGGACAUGACAGGGGCUGGUUUAGGUCUAACAUCUGGCCUAAGGAACAGGGCUGGUUUAGGUCUAACAUCUGGCCUAAGGGACAGGACUGGUUUAGGUCUAACAUCUGGCCUAAGGGACAGGGCUAACAUCUGGCCUAAGGGACAUGACAGGGGCUGGUUUAGGUCUAACAUCUGGCCUAAGGAACAGGGCUGGUUUAGGUCUAACAUCUGGCCUAAGGAACAGGGCUGGUUUAGGUCUAACAUCUGGCCUAAGGAACAGGGCUGGUUUAGGUCUAACAUCUGGCCUAAGGGACAGGACAGGGCUGGUUUAGGUCUAACAUCUGGCCUAAGGAACAGGGCUGGUUUAGGUCUAACAUCUGGCCUAAGGGACAGGACAGGGCUGGUUUAGGUCUAACAUCUGGCCUAAGGGACAGGACAGGGCUGGUUUAGGUCUAACAUCUGGUCUAAGGGACAGGACAGGGGCUGGUUUAGGUCUAACAUCUGGCCUAAGGGACAGGGGCUGGUUUAGGUCUAAUAUCUGGUCUAAGGGACAGGGCUGGUUUAGGUCUAACAUCUGGUCUCAGGGACAGGGACUGGUUUAGGUCUAACAUCUGGCCUAAGGGACAGGACAGGGCUGGUUUAGGUCUAACAUCUGGCCUAAGGGACAGGGCUGGUUUAGGUCUAACAUCUGGCCUAAGGGACAGGGACUGGUUUAGGUCUAACAUCUGGCCUAAGGGACAGGGGCUGGUUUAGGUCUAACAUCUGGCCUAAGGGACAGGACAGGGCUGGUUUAGGUCUAACAUCUGGCCUAAGGGACAGGGCUGGUUUAGGUCUAACAUCUGGCCUAAGGGACAGGACAGGGGCUGGUUUAGGUCUAACAUCUGGCCUAAGGGACAGGGGCUGGUUUAGGUCUAGCAUCUGGCCUAAGGGACAGGGGCUGGUGUAGGUCUAACAUCUGGUCUAAGGGACAGGACUGGUUUAGGUCUAACAUCUGGUCUCAGGGACAGGGACUGGUUUAGGUCUAACAUCUGGCCUAAGGGACAGGGGCUGGUUUAGGUCUAACAUCUGGCCUAAGGGACAGGACAGGGCUGGUUUAGGUCUAACAUCUGGCCUAAGGGACAGGACAGGGCUGGUUUAGGUCUAACAUCUGGCCUAAGGGACAGGACAGGGCUGGUUUAGGUCUAACAUCUGGCCUAAGGGACAGGGCUGGUUUAGGUCUAACAUCUGGCCUAAGGGACAGGGGCUGGUUUAGGUCUAACAUCUGGCCUAGGCGAUCUAGUCCCUUUCCCUGACUGCUAGACCACACACACAAUCACUGACACACACACACACACACAUAGACACACGCAUGCACACACACACACACACACACAGACACACGCGUGCACACACACGCAAAUGAUAGCUUAGCUCACACUGGCGGGUUGAAGAAUCAGUUGAGACAGAAAAUGUAGAGAGAUUCUCAGCCUGCCAGGCUAGCAGCCAUGCAAACUAAUGCAAUCCACUGUCACCUUGUCAGGAUGCUGUGUGUGUGUGUGUGUGUGUGUGUGUGUGUGUGUGUGUGUGUGUGUGUGUGUGUGUGCCUGUGUAUCUCUGUGUGUGUGUGUACCUGUGUAUCUCUGUGUGUGUGUGUGUGUGUGUGUGUGUGUGUGUGUGUGUGUGUGUGUGUGUGUGUGUGUGUGUGUGUGUGUGU